UCAGGAUGAACGCUGGCGGCGUGCUUAACACAUGCAAGUCGAACGAAGCACUUUGAACUCCUCGGGAGCGAUGAGUGACUGAGUGGCGGACGGGUGAGUAACGCGUGGGUAACCUGCCUCAUACAGGGGGAUAACAGUUAGAAAUGACUGCUAAUACCGCAUAAGACCACAGCACCGCAUGGUGCAGGGGCCAAAGCCGAGACGGUAUGAGAUGGACCCGCGUCUGAUUAGCUAGUUGGUGGGGUAACGGCCCACCAAGGCGACGAUCAGUAGCCGACCUGAGAGGGUGACCGGCCACAUUGGGACUGAGACACGGCCCAAACUCCUACGGGAGGCAGCAGUGGGGAAUAUUGCACAAUGGGCGAAAGCCUGAUGCAGCGACGCCGCGUGAGCGAAGAAGUAUUUCGGUAUGUAAAGCUCUAUCAGCAGGGAAGAAAAUGACGGUACCUGACUAAGAAGCACCGGCUAAAUACGUG
rnacentral:rRNA from 1 species